rnacentral:rRNA from 1 species
AUCUCAAAAAGCCGAUCGUAGUCCGGAUUGGAGUCUGCAACUCGACUCCAUGAAGUCGGAAUCGCUAGUAAUCGCGGAUCAGAAUGCCGCGGUGAGUACGUUCCCGGGCCUUGUACACACCGCCCGUCACACCAUGGGAGUUUGUUGCACCAGAAGUAGCUAGCCUAACUGCAAAGAGGGCGGUUACCACGGUGUGGCCGAUGACUGGGGUG